UCCCUGGUAGUCUAGUCACUAGGACUCUGUGCUUCCAAUGCAGGGGGCCCGGGUUCAAUCCCUGGCCAGGGAA